CUCACCACGACAGACUUGAGGGGUUCUCUGCCAACUGAUCUCUCACCGCAACGUGUAGACGGAUCUCUACGUGGAGACUGAUCUCUCACCACGACACGAGCUUCCUGCCUUCCGAUCCUCCUCUACGGACCGUUUGCUGACGGACUUCCCUGGGCCUGCUACCUGAGACCUGCUGCUUCCUCCCUGACCUGCAUCCUCUCGCUGCCCCAGACCGGCCUUGCUGCUCCUGCCCUUCGGCCUCGGACCGUCGGAACAUCGUGCAACGGGACUGCUGCCGGAUCCUGGUGACUACGUGCUGUUGAUUAAAGCAGUAAACUGGGGAUGAAAGUGAAUCUGUAUGUCUGAAUUUUCUCACUCCAAAAAGUCAUCAGCUAGUACUCAGCUUGUACAUCUGCUAUAAUCC
ensembl:lncRNA